rnacentral:rRNA from 1 species
UACGUAGGGUCCGAGCGUUGUCCGGAAUUACUGGGCGUAAAGAGCUCGUAGGUGGUUUGUCGCGUUGUUCGUGAAAACUCACAGCUCAACUGUGGGCGUGCGGGCGAUACGGGCAGACUUGAGUACUGCAGGGGAGACUGGAAGUUCCUGGUGUAGCGGUGGAAUGCGCAGAUAUCAGGAGGAACACCGGUGGCGAAGGCGGGUCUCUGGCAGUGAACUGACGCUGGAGGAGCGAAAGCGUGGGAGCGAACAGG